GGCCUAGCCGGACGGUCCGUUUCUGGCGAGUACUGUUCUGUCGUCGGGUCUAUCCUUCUGGUGAGCCGGUCGGUAUGUUCUUAAUUGGGCGUCCCGGGGAACCAGGACCAUUACCUUGAAAAAAUUAGAGUGUUUAAAGCAGGCCUUUGCUUGAAUAGAUUAGCAUGGAAUAAUAGAAUAGGACGUUGUGGCUCUAUUUUGUUGGUUUUAGGACCACCGUA
rnacentral:rRNA from 1 species